rnacentral:rRNA from 1 species
UACGAAGGGGGCUAGCGUUGCUCGGAAUCACUGGGCGUAAAGCGCACGUAGGCGGAUUGUUAAGUCAGGGGUGAAAUCCUGGAGCUCAACUCCAGAACUGCCUUUGAUACUGGCGAUCUCGAGUCCGGGAGAGGUGAGUGGAACUGCGAGUGUAGAGGUGAAAUUCGUAGAUAUUCGCAAGAACACCAGUGGCGAAGGCGGCUCACUGGCCCGGUACUGACGCUGAGGUGCGAAAGCGUGGGGAGCAACAGGGAUUAA